rnacentral:rRNA from 1 species
GACGAACGCUGGCGGCAUGCCUAAUACAUGCAAGUCGAACGCUGAAGCACUCUGCUUGCAGAGUGCGGAUGAGUGGCGAACGGGUGAGUAACACGUGGGAAAUCUGCCUAUAAGAGGGGGAUAACAUUCGGAAACGGAUGCUAAUACCGCAUAUAUUCUUGGACCGCCUGGUCCUUGAAAGAAAGACGGCUUUGCUGUCGCUUAUAGAUGAUCCCGCGGCGUAUUAGUUAGUUGGUGGGGUAAAGGCCUACCAAGACAAUGAUACGUAGCCGACCUGAGAGGGUGAUCGGCCACACUGGGACUGAGACACGGCCCAGACUCCUACGGGAGGCAGCAGUAGGGAAUCUUCCACAAUGGGCGAAAGCCUGAUGGAGCAAUGCCGCGUGAAUGAAGAAGGUCUUCGGAUCGUAAUGUUCUGUUAUUAGAGAAGAACAAGUCAAGGAGUAACUGUCUUGACUUUGACGGUAUCUAACCAGAAAGUCACGGCUAACUACGUG